AACCGGGAUGUGCCUGCAGGUGCCGUAUAUAGAGGAUCUGGGAUCAGCACCACAUAUUUUCCUCCAAAACUUCGCAUUCAGCACAGUCGGUGUGUCUGCAGGUAAAUAGAGGAGCAGGAAUCGCCACCGAGUAGAUUCCUUCUAUACCUUGCAUCGAGCGCAAACGACAUCAAUGCACCACAACAAGCACGGUGGGCACUGCGGUCGUGGACGUGGUAAGCAUGGUCACGGCCACGCGCACGGGCACGGAUGCGGAAAGGAACCAGGAUGUAAAAAAUGUCGCCGGCGCAGACACAAGUUAGGACACAAGCAUCGCAAGUGUCACAAAAAAGGGAAGGACUGCCAUGGGUCUUCCAGCAGCUCCUGCAGCAGCAGCAGCAGCAGCAGCAGCAGCGACUGCGACUAAAAGAGGAAGAGUCUCGCAAAAAUCCAGUUUGCACAAUGAGCACGCCCAACGUGACCCCCAAAUUAUCAAAUAACAUUCCUGUUGUGUACUGUGUUGAUCCAUUUGACUCGUUUUCCAGUAUGAAACAUCUGACCAGCUUCGCCAUCAGCAUAACAAUACAUGUUGGCACGAGAGAAACAAUGUUUAUUGGGAUUUUUUUUUUUCAAUUUUCAAUUUCUGACACUUUUGGAUCAUUGUAACACAUUGUUGUUGCUCCUUCUGAGAAACAAUAUACCGGGGAGAGUUGAACAGGUUGUUCAGUUGUGCAUUUAUUGGUGAGCUGAUGCAAUAAAAUUGAUGUUAAAAUGAAA